rnacentral:rRNA from 1 species
GAUUAACGCUGGCGGCGUGCCUAACACAUGCAAGUCGAACGAGGUAGCAAUACCCUAGUGGCAGACGGGUGAGUAACACGUGGGCAACCUACCGUAAAGUGGGGGGAUAACUAGUCGAAAGAUUAGCUAAUACCGCAUGGGGAAUUGGUCGGCAUCGGCCAACGUCCAAAGGAGCAAUCCGCUUUAUGACGGGCCCGCGCCCGAUUAGCUAGUUGGUGGGGUAACGGCCUACCAAGGCUCCGAUCGGUAGCUGGUUUGAGAGAGCGACCAGCCACACUGGGACUGAGAAACGGCCCAGACUCCUACGGGAGGCAGCAGUGAGGAAUUUUCCGCAAUGGGCGAAAGCCUGACGAGCGACGCCGCGUGUGGGA